AUUGAAACACCAGUUUCCAUGCAGUCACUAAAGUUAAGCAACAUUGAACCUGGCCAGUACUUAGGUGGGUGACUGCUUGGGAAUAUCAGGUGCUGUAAG